rnacentral:rRNA from 1 species
GCGCCCCGCAAGGGGAGCGGCAGACGGGUGAGUAACACGUGGGAACGUACCCUUUGGUUCGGAACAACCCAGGGAAACUUGGGCUAAUACCGGAUACGUCCGUAAGGAGAAAGAUUUAUCGCCAAAGGAUCGGCCCGCGUCUGAUUAGCUAGUUGGUGGGGUAAUGGCUCACCAAGGCUACGAUCAGUAGCUGGUCUGAGAGGAUGAUCAGCCACAUUGGGACUGAGACACGGCC